AAAAUUUAUUUUCGUGUUUUAUUUUUAUAAUAACCAUAAAGGUUAUGUACAUGUAAGUAUCUACAUGUGUUUCCCGUUAUAUUAUCAUAAUAUUGUGUUAUAAUUGUGCAGAGGAGUGUUUAAUGGGGGGCAAAGGAGGCAUUUUCCCCCACCGUCAAAAUUUUAAAAUAUUUCAUAGGCGGCAUUCGUAUACAGAUUUUUCAUACAUUUUUUGCAGA